rnacentral:rRNA from 1 species
GACGAACGCUGGCGGCGUGCUUAACACGUGCAAGUCGAACGGUGAAGGGACCAGCUUGCUGGUUCUGGAUGAGUGGCGAACGGGUGAGUAACACGUGAGUAACCUGCCCCCUUCUUCUGGAUAACCGCAUGAAAGUGUGGCUAAUACGGGAUAUUCUGGGUCUGUCGCAUGGCGGGCCCGGGAAAGAUAUUGCUUCGGUGGGGGAUGGGCUCGCGACCUAUCAGCUUGUUGGUGGGGUGAUGGCCUACCAAGGCGGUGACGGGUAGCCGGCCUGAGAGGGUGGACGGUCACACUGGGACUGAGACACGGCCCAGACUCCUACGGGAGGCAGCAGUGGGGAAUAUUGCACAAUGGGCGCAAGCCUGAUGCAGCGACGCCGCGUGAGGGAUGGAGGCCUUCGGGUUGUAAACCUCUUUCGCCAGUGAAGCAGGCCUGCUCCUUGUGGGUGGGUUGACGGUAGCUGGAUAAGAAGCGCCGGCUAACUACGUG